AUUCCAGCUCCAAUAGCGUAUAUUAAAGUUGUUGCAGUUAAAAAGCUCGUAGUUGAAUUUUGGAUCUGGUCAAGUGGUUUGGGCGCAAGCUCAACACUGCUUUGGCUGGGUCUAUUUCUUUUGGGGAAUUAAGGUGCUAUUUAUUUAGUGCCUUAGGGAACCAAAACUGUUACUUUGAAAAAAUUAGAGUGUUUAAAACAGGCUUAUGCUUGAAUACAUUAGCAUGGAAUAACGGAAUAGGACUUUGUUUCUAUUUUGUUGGUUUGAGAAAUGAAGUAAUGAUUAAUAGGGACAGUUGGGGGCAUUUGUAUUCCAUUGUCAGAGGUGAAAUUCUUGGAUUUAUGGAAGACUAACUUCUGCGAAAGCAUUUGCCAAGGAUGUUUUCAUCA
rnacentral:rRNA from 1 species